rfam:Schistosoma haematobium scaffold2292_12, whole genome shotgun sequence.
AUCCAGCUGAAGCGUCGCAAACAGGAUGAAACGCGCGUCCUGGAU